AUUGAACGCUGGCGGCGUGCCUAACACAUGCAAGUCGAGCGGUAACAGGUGUAGCAAUACAUGCUGACGAGCGGCGGACGGGUGAGUAACGCUUGGGAAUCUGCCUAUUAGUGGGGGACAACCCGGGGAAACUCGGGCUAAUACCGCAUACGCUCUACGGAGGAAAGCCGGGGACCGCAAGGCCUGGCGCUAAUAGAUGAGCCCAAGUCGGAUUAGCUAGUUGGUAGGGUAAUGGCCUACCAAGGCGACGAUCCGUAACUGGUCUGAGAGGACGACCAGUCACACCGGAACUGAGACACGGUCCGGACUCCUACGGGAGGCAGCAGUGGGGAAUAUUGGACAAUGGGCGAAAGCCUGAUCCAGCGACGCCGCGUGGGUGAAGAAGCCUGCGGGUUGUAAAGCCCUUUCAGUGGGGAAGAAAAGCCGCGAGGUGAACAAUCUCGCGGCCGU
rnacentral:rRNA from 1 species